AUGGGAGAUAGAGAAAGGCGAGUGGUGUUUGUCACAGUAGGGACAACAUGUUUCGAUGCUCUUGUCAAAGUGGUAGAUUCUGAGGAACUCAAACAAGCACUACUGCAGAAAGGUUACACAGACCUUCUGAUUCAAAUGGGCCGAGGAACAUACAAGCCAUCCAAGGCCUCAGGAAAUUCAAGUCUUCAAGUUGAGCAUUUCACUUUUUCACCAAGCAUAGCUGACAACAUACGGGAAGCAUCCUUAGUCAUCAGUCAUGCAGGUUCUGGCAGCAUAUUUGAGACGCUGCGACUGGGCAAACCUCUUAUCGUGGUUGUGAAUGAAGACCUGAUGGACAAUCACCAAAGCGAGCUAGCAGAGGAACUGGCCGAGAGGAAUCACCUUUUCUGUGCCCAUCCACACACGUUGCGGGAGACCGUCGAGGCGAUGGAUCUGAAGACGCUCCAGCCUUACGUGCCAGGAGAGGCCAAGCCAGUUGUGGCACUGAUAAACAGAUUUCUUGGUUUCCCUGUUGAUUGA
rnacentral:rRNA from 1 species